UCAGACUCGGCCACACUCUCUCUUCUCCUAACGUUCGUUCACAGUUCUUCUUCUGUGGUUGCUUCGCAGUUUCUUCUCACCACUAGAACGUACGCCUUCGCAUCCGAUGAGAGUCGGCUUUCUAAUCAAGAAUUAUUGGUCACACUCGACUGCUUGGUUCACCUGGUUCUCCAGAAGGUGGUAGCCAGUAUUCUCCUGCCAUACAACGUAACGCAACCAUGUCACAUGGAGACGGUGUCGAUUCGGCAGAUGAUUGAGGUUCGAAGCAUGCAGAUUCGAGGAAUCAAUGUCAGAUACCAUACUUUCUCGAAGGUAGAUCGGAAUCGAUCCAAGCACACGGAGGAUUCGAGAUAGCACCUGAGGGGGUGGGUUUCGUGCCGGACGAGCUGGCAUGGAUCCACCGUGUCGUCGACGGUGUUUCCAGUUCAAGGUCAACGGGAAUCUAGG
rnacentral:misc_RNA from 1 species